GUGCAGGUGUUUUACUGGGACCUUCCUUUAUCCAUUCAGGAGGGAUAUGAGCGGUUUCUCUCUCGUGAGACUCUGACUCUUCAUCAGUAUCAGGUUUUUGGACAUUUGAAAAGGCUUGGGUAUGUUGUGAACAGAUUUGACCCCAGUUCCGUCCCGUCCACAUAUGAGAGACAGCUGAAUCUGCCAGCAUCAUCAUUGGACAAACAGAGAAAACAGCUGAAGAGGAAGCGCGCUCUAAGUCCUGUGUCCAGGUACA